GGCCUGGUGGCGUAACUGGUAACGCGCCGUCGAAAGAUGCUUCCUGCACAUUGAGUCUCGACGGAGUCCCUUGUUCGAAUCAAGGUCACGGGCCC